rnacentral:rRNA from 1 species
CCUACGGGUGGCAGCAGUGGGGAAUAUUACACAAUGGGGGAAACUCUGAUCCAGCGACGCCGCGUGAGUGAAGAAGUAUUUCGGUAUGUAAAGCUCUAUCAGUAGGGAAGAAAAUGACGGUACGUGACUAAGAAUCUCCGGCUAACUACGUGCCAGCAGCCGCGGUAAUACGUAGGGGGCAAGCGUUAUACGGAUUUACUGGGUGUAAAGGGAGCGUAGACGGCCAGACAAGUCAGAAGUGAAAGCCCAGGGCUCAACCCUGGGACUGCUGUUGAAACUGGCGGGCUGGAGUGCAGGAGAGGUAAGCGGAAUUCCUGGUGUAGCGGUGAAAUGCGUAGAUAUUAGGAGGAACACCAGUGGCGAAGGCGGCUUACUGGACUGUAACUGACGUUGAGGCUCGAAAGCGUGGGGAGCAAACAGGAUUAGAUACCCUUGUAGUC